AACAGUCAGAAGUCAAAUAUGCCCAAAAUUUAUGGAUUUCUCACUUCUUAUGUUUACUAGGACAUUAUACAUUAUCUUAAUAAACAUAAAGAACACAAAACUACAAGGGUCAGAUACAAAAAAUUACACUUACUGUAUAUUCUGUCAUUGGAUAUGGAACUUGUAUCCUUUGAAUUAUAUUGACCAGUCACUGAAUUAAUGGAUUUAAUCACCAUCUGUAAGUUGAAGAAUAUCUGUAUAUACAAGGAAUGAUCAAAAAAUUUAUAUAAUAACAGGAUAUCUUUAUUUUACACACAUUUUUAAUCAUCAUCAAAUUAUUGCCCUUAGGAACACACAUUCCAGCAAGUCUGCUAUUGUUUGAAACAUUGAGAGAAUUCAUUUUCAGUAUAGCCUGUACUUGGGCUUUCAUCUGUCUCUUCGUGUGUUUGGUCUUUUGCAGUGCAUCACAAGUUGUAGUUGCUUUAAAACUUGUUCAUAAUAAAAGAUAUUUAUGGUUGUGUGUACAGCAACAAAUUCAUGAUGCACCAUGCUUUUGUUGUCCAAAAAAAUAUGACCUUAACAUGUGAUUUGACAUUCACGCUGCCUUUGGUUUUGGAGAUCCAUAUGCCACACAUGAAUAUGAGCAUGAUUGUAUUUUGUCCUCAGAGUCAUAUCUGUGAGUUUCAGUUGCACUUUUGCCAAGUUAAAACAAAAUUUUAUGCUUGCUCUUUUUUCAAAGACAGAUAUUUUUUACAAAUAAAUAUUAAUGACUUUACUUUUUAGUAUUAUUAUUGUAAA
rnacentral:lncRNA from 1 species